rnacentral:rRNA from 1 species
CCUACGGGUGGCAGCAGUGAGGAAUAUUGGUCAAUGGACGGAAGCCUGAACCAGCCAAGUCGCGUGCAGGAAGACGGCACUUAGGGUUGUAAACUUCUUUUGUCUGGGAACAAAGGCGGACACGCGUCUCCCGAUGAGUGUACCCGAAGAAAAAGCCUCGGCUAACUCCGUGCCAGCAGCCGCGGUAAUACGGAGGAUGCACGCGUUAUCCGGAUUUAUUGGGUUUAAAGGGGGCGCAGGCGGAAGGUUACAUCAGGGGGUAAAUGGGCGGGGCUAAACCUGGACCUGCAGUUGAAACUGGUGUUCUAGAGUGGGAGAGAAGUAGGCGGAAUGCGUGGUGUAGCGGUGAAAUGCAUAGAUAUCACGAAGAACUCCGAUUGCGAAGGCAGCAGACCGG